AACCUAGCACACCUGCGGUGUGUACCUGCGGAGGGAUCAUUACUGAAUGGGAAGGGCGCCCUGGAGAACCAGGAUGACCUAAACUCCCGUCAAGAUACACCCCUUGUCUUCUGAGCACCAUCCGUUUCCUCGGCAGGCUCGCCUGCCAAUGGGGACCACAUCAAACCCUUUUGUAGUUGCAGUAAACGUCUCAAAAACAAAAAAAAUCAAAACUUUUAGCAACGGAUCUCAGAUCGGAAG
rnacentral:misc_RNA from 1 species